GCCUUGGUGGUUUAAUGAUGGAAUCCUGGUCUUCCACGCAGGAUACCCAGGUUCAACUCCUGACCAAUGCA
rnacentral:tRNA from 1 species